UACGGGGGGAGCAAGCGUUGUUCGGAUUUACUGGGCGUAAAGGGCGCGUAGGCGGCACCGCAAGUCGACUGUGAAAUCUCCGGGCUUAACCCGGAAAGGUCAGCCGAUACUGCGGGGCUAGAGUGCAGAAGGGGCAACUGGAAUUCUCGGUGUAGAGGUGAAAUGCGUAGAUAUCGAGAGGAACACCUGCGGCGAAGGCGGGUUGCUGGGCUGACACUGACGCUGAUGCGCGAAAGCUAGGGGAGCGAACGGG
rnacentral:rRNA from 1 species